UGCAUGCUUUAUACAUGCAAGUCGAACGGAGGCCCUAGCUUGCUAGGUGUCCUUAGUGGCGCACGGGUGAGUAACACGUGGGAACAUACCUCAUAGUACGGAAUAACUGCGGGAAACUGUAGCUAAUACCGUAUAUUCCAGUAAUGGGAAAGAUUUAUCGCUAUGAGAUUGGCCCGCGCAAGAUUAGUUUGUUGGUAAGGUAAUGGCUUACCAAGGCUACGAUCUUUAGCUGGUUUGAGAGGAUGAUCAGCCACACUGGGACUGAGACACGGCCCAGACUCCUACGGGAGGCAGCAGUAGGGAAUAUUGGACAAUGGGGGCAACCCUGAUCCAGCAAUGCAGCGUGAGUGACGAAGGCCUUAGGGUUGUAAAACUCUUUCAUCGGUGAGGAUAAUGACAGUAGCCGAAGAAGAAGGACCGG
rnacentral:rRNA from 1 species